UUGAAGCUCUCUUCAUGUCGCGUACUACGCCCCUUGUUGAUAUAAAAACAACAACAGUAAUCGGCUUUAAAAUUGAAACCUUUAUUUUAAUAGAUAGUGUCAUAAGCAGCCAGGACGCUUUAUUUAGAAGCUGAUGUAACUGGCUGAAAGCAUGCAAAAGUAUGAGAAGUUGGAGAAGAUAGGAGAGGGUACAUAUGGGACUGUUUUUAAGGCUAAGAACAGGGAGACGCAUGAGAUUGUGGCCCUCAAAAGAGUGAGAUUGGAUGAUGAUGAUGAGGGGGUACCAAGUUCAGCAUUACGAGAAAUUUGCCUCCUGAAAGAACUUAAGCAUAAAAACAUUGUAAGGCUGCAUGAUGUCCUUCACAGUGAUAAGAAGCUAACAUUAGUUUUUGAGUACUGUGACCAGGAUUUGAAGAAAUACUUCGACAGCUGCAAUGGUGACUUGGAUCCAGAGAUUGUUAAGUCCUUCAUGUACCAGUUAUUGAAGGGACUUGCCUUCUGCCACAGUCGAAAUGUUCUUCACCGGGACCUUAAACCACAAAAUCUGCUAAUUAACAGAAAUGGUGAACUGAAGUUAGCUGACUUUGGCUUGGCCAGAGCUUUUGGGAUUCCUGUUCGAUGUUAUUCUGCUGAGGUGGUGACAUUGUGGUACAGACCUCCAGACGUACUGUUUGGUGCUAAGCUAUAUUCUACCUCUAUCGACAUGUGGUCUGCCGGGUGUAUAUUUGCAGAACUAGCAAAUGCUGGACGGCCGUUAUUUCCUGAUUUUGGAUACAGCUGUUUACGGAAACCUCAAUAUCUCAUCUCAGGAUGGUUCUAGCUCCUUGGAACUCAGGAUGGUUCUAGCUCCUAGCUCCGCGUCUGAGACCGGCAACUGAGAUUUGUCCUCCGCCACCCGGACUGAGGCGGAAAUCACUACGUAACCACAAGGACUUAAAAGGACAUUGGGAAUUGGGCAUUCCAAAUUGGGAGAAAAAGGGGGAAAAUCCACACACACACAAAAAAUUCCACAUACAGUUCAUUAAGGUUACUUAAAACUAAAUGCUUUUGUUUAUUAACUUUUUAAAGAACCCUGUGAUAGAUACAGCUUCAAUGUUGCCAAUAUCAAAAGUAGUAGACCUCAUUGACAAGUAUAAGCUAUUGUAUGUCAGUCAUAAACAUAUUUACUGUAAAAUACUGUUUAUUUUUAUUAUUUGUUAUGCUUAUAUUACAUCUGUUCAUUUCUACUAGCCCUAGCUCUGUAACCAGUGGAAUCUCAAACUCUAAAUGUUGACUGCAGAUUGCACUAUAGAGGACUUAUUUCUGUGAAAAAUUCAGGUUACUGUCUGGUCCCCCACCAGAGAUAUUCAACCCGAAAGUGAGGGGAAUUUAAAAAAAUGGCACUUUCUCUCCCCCAUAAAAAAAUAAAUAAGAAAAGUCUCAAACCUGAAAUGUUCUACAUGCACACUAUACUUACCUAGGUACCCGCUAAACAAAAAUUAAGACUGAGACUCAAACCUUUCCCAUUAUAAAUUGACCCUAAAAGUGGAACUUGGAGCAAUCUUGAACAUUACAUUAGGACUUGCAUCUAAGGAACAAGAAUGUUUAUAUAUGUACAUGUGCCCUGUAAUGUGCUCUAGAGAUCAGUUUUUGCUCCAAUGAGCUAGGAUCAUCCUGAGCCGAGAUAUUGAGGUUUCCGUAAACAGCUGUAUAACCAAAAUUUGUCGUGUGCCAUGAGACAAAGAUUGCCGUCGUGGUUAAAGCGAGUAAAAUAAAAAUAAAAAACUGGUGAUUUUGCAAUACCAAUACAGAGAGGUAAACACUAACAAAAAAAAUAAAUAAAAAAAAAAUAGGAAAAUUAAAAAUGGUCAAGAAACCAAAUGUACAAUUAUUGGACCACUUGAGAUGGACUGACCUAGGAGCUGUUGGUAUUCUUUAACAUUUUGGUACAUUGCUGGGGACACCAACAGAAGAACAGUGGCAGACUAUGAACAAACUUCCAGAUUAUAAGCCAUAUCCAAUGUACCCAGCUACUACAUCACUUGUGAAUGUUGUCCCGAAACUCAGUAGCACUGGCAGAGACCUACUACAGAAUCUUCUGAAAUGCAAUCCAGUACAGCGAAUUUCAGCAGAGGAAGCCCUACAGCACCCUUACUUUGCUGAUUUCUGCCCACCCUAAAUUUCAGAUCCACUGAGCUUCAUUUAGAAAUAUAAUGGGCCAGUCUUGCCUCGUGCAACACCAUUAAUUCCUCCAGCUUUCAGUUAGAGUUCUUCUAGAAGGACCUUUCAACACUUCUUCAUUAGUUAAUUUGUAUCAGUCACAUGCAAUGAUUUGUGAUUGUAUAGUGACACAUUGUAAUGCAGAGUGUGGUGCUAUUACAAUUCAUAAACAAGAAAUUGUUACUUUCACAUUUAUGGGAUAGUUUAGAAGAUAAUGAUCAUCAGUUUUAGUCACCCAAAUUUCACAUAUCCUGGCCCUGCACAAUUCAUUUAGUUGAUUGCCAAAUGUGCUUCAUGGGUCUUUAAUGGUUUACAAAAUGCUGCCGUGAAGACUUAAAGGCAGUAUUUAUUUUUAUUUUGUCAAAGAUCAAAUGAACAAUAUAAUUUAAUAAGGUACAGUGCACAUAUAGUACUUGAUUUAGAUUGUUACAUACAUAGUAUUUAAAAAUAGUUACUUUUCCAUUAAGUUUGUGUGUGUGUGUGUGUGUGUGUGUGUGUGUGUCUGGUAUAUUUAUAUAAGGCGAAGGAAAAUAGUUUUAUUCUUUUGUCGUUACGGUGCAACUGUCCUUUUGCCAUUUUCUAUGAAUGAGAUUGUAGCGUUUAUUGAGUCAUUUUAAACAAUUCUAUCAUUUUUUUUUUUUUUUAAAUAA